GACGAACGCUGGCGGCGCGCCUAACACAUGCAAGUCGAACGGAGUCAAGAGGAGCUUGCUUUUCUUGACUUAGUGGCGAACGGGUGAGUAACGCGUGAGUAACCUGCCCUGGAGUGGGGGACAACAGUUGGAAACGACUGCUAAUACCGCAUAAGCCCACGGAUCUGCAUGGAUCUGCGGGAAAAGGAUUUAUUCGCUCUAGGAUGGACUCGCGUCCAAUUAGCUAGUUGGUGAGGUAACGGCCCACCAAGGCGACGAUUGGUAGCCGGACCGAGAGGUUGAACGGCCACAUUGGGACUGAGACACGGCCCAGACUCCUACGGGAGGCAGCAGUGGGGGAUAUUGCACAAUGGGGGAAACCCUGAUGCAGCGACGCCGCGUGGAGGAAGAAGGUUUUCGGAUUGUAAACUCCUGUCGUUAGGGACGAUAAUGACGGUACCUAACAAGAAAGCACCAGCUAACUACGUG
rnacentral:rRNA from 1 species